ensembl:snRNA U6 U6 spliceosomal RNA
GUGCUCACUUUCGCAGCACAUACACUAAAAUUGGAAUAAUGCAGAGAAGAUUAGUGUGGCCCCUGGGCAAGGAUGACACACAAAUUUCUGAAGCAUUCCAUAUUAAA